UGAGUGGCGAACUGGUGAGUAACACGUGGGAAACCUGCCCAGAAGCGGGGGAUAACACCUGGAAACAGAUGCUAAUACCGCAUAACAACUUGGACCGCAUGGUCCGAGUUUGAAAGAUGGCUUCGGCUAUCACUUUUGGAUGGUCCCGCGGCGUAUUAGCUAGAUGGUGAGGUAACGGCUCACCAUGGCAAUGAUACGUAGCCGACCUGAGAGGGUAAUCGGCCACAUUGGGACUGAGACACGGCCCAAACUCCUACGGGAGGCAGCAGUAGGGAAUCUUCCACAAUGGACGAAAGUCUGAUGGAGCAACGCCGCGUGAGUGAAGAAGGGUUUCGGCUCGUAAAACUCUGUUGUUAAAGAAGAACAUAUCUGAGAGUAACUGUUCAGGUAUUGACGGUAUUUAACCAGAAAGCCACGGCUAACUACGUGCCAGCAGCCGCGGUAAUACGUAGGUGGCAAGCGUUGUCCGGAUUUAUUGGGCGUAAAGCGAGCGCAGGCGGUUUUUUAAGUCUGAUGUGAAAGCCUUCGGCUCAACCGAAGAAGUGCAUCGGAAACUGGGAAACUUGAGUGCAGAAGAGGACAGUGGAACUCCAUGUGUAGCGGUGAAAUGCGUAGAUAUAUGGAAGAACACCAGUGGCGAAUGCGGCUGUCUGGUCUGUAACUGACGGUGAGGCUCGAAAGUAUGGGUAGCAAACAGGAUUAGAUACCCUGGUAGUCCAUACCGUUAACGAUGAAUGCUAAGUGUUGGAGGGUUUCCGCCCUUCAAUGCUGCAGCUAACGCCUUAAGCAUUCCCGCCUGGGGAGUACGGCCGCAAGGCUGAAACUCAAAGGAAUUGACGGGGGCCCGCACCAGCGGUGGAGCAUGUGGUUUAAUUUGAAGCUACGCGAAGAACCUUACCAGGUCUUGACAUCCUAUGCAAAUUUUAGAGAUUAGACGUUCCCUUUGGGGACAAGGAUACAGGUGGUGCAUGGUUGUUGUCAGCUCGUGUCGUGAGAUGUUGGGUUAAGUCCCGCAACGAGCGCAACCCUUAUUAUCAGUUGCCAGCAUUAAGUUGGGCACUUUGGUGAGACUGCCGGUGACAAACCGGAGGAAGGUGGGGAUGACGUCAAAUCAUCAUGCCCCUUAUGACCUGGGCUACACACGUGCUACAAUGGAUGGUACAACGAGUUGCGAACUCGCGAGAGUAAGCUAAUCUCUUAAAGCCAUUCUCAGUUCGGAUUGUAGGCUGCAACUUGCCUACAUGAAGUUGGAAUCGCUUGUAAUCGCGGAUCAGCAUGCCGCGGUGAAUACGUUCCCGGGCCUUGUACACACCGCCCGUCACACCCUGAGAGUUUGUAACACCCAAAGUCGGUGGGGUAACCUUUU
rnacentral:rRNA from 2 species